CGACCUCUGAGAAGCCCAACCUCUUCCUUUCCUCUUCGACUUUAUGCAUACUUUCAUGGCCCCGUCAGAGUCUUCACUAUCGUCCUCACUGUGCAGCAUUUUGGGCUGAUGAUGGGCGUUUGGAUCCGGGAGAUAACUUAGGCUCCGGGGAGGAUUUCUCAGACUGAUCUUUUUCUGGAGAGCUCUUGGUGGUGGCUUCAGAGGAAGGGGUUGCAGUGACAGAACUAACCGACAGAAGAGUCGCAAUGACCGCA
rnacentral:lncRNA from 1 species